AUUACAAAAGCCCCAGGAUGGUUUCAGCUGGGGAGCUCGGUCUCCUUUUCUCCCCACAUCCGCAUCAGAGCCUUCCUGAAACCCCGCAUCACUGUCAGGCCCCGCACCCCGGGCCUGGGCCCUCCGCGCUGAGCGCUGUGUGCUCGGUGCUGGGGCGGUUGUCCUGAUGAAUCUCACUCUGGAGAUGGCUCUGCUCGUUCAUUCAGAAUUGUUCCAAAUGCCUCUGAAGAAACAAGAAAAGACUGAGUUUCAUUACGGAGGAUUCAAAUUAGGUCUGGUCUCUAAUUACCGCACUGGGUUUUGUUGUUUUGUCUUUAUUUGUUGGUUUUCUUAAAAGAUGAUGGCCUGCCAGCUUCACAUUGUGAGAGUAUCAUUGCCCUGUCUAGACAGGCUUUCCUCCAAGUCCGGAGACUGAGUGACAGCUGGACAGGACUGGCAACCGUCACACUAGGUGGUCUCUUUUGUUGCUUAGGAAAUUCAAGGAUGGGUAAAUGGCUGACCAGGCAAGUGUCUAUGGCAGUGACUACGCCAGACUAGGCCUCUCUCUCUCAUGCUCCAUCACUUGGUCCAGAAAGAUCCUUGGAUAAGCAGUGACCUGGGCCUGGACCUUUGCUCUGGCAGAUUCCUAGCUGAGGCUUACAUUCUUGAGCUUGCUUGGCCUUCGUAUGAGAGUCAAGACAUAAAUUGGACCAUAAAUUGGCCUCUGUCAGAAUCUACAUCGGAAUGACACCAAAUACAUGUCAUCAGGCUUGUGUUCCAGCAAGCAGCAGGAAUCCACUGGUGCUUGUCAUCUUGAUCAAAUGUUCACCUCACUCCCUUUUCCAGCUCAUUCCUCUCCUUUGAAGAAAAUACGACUCAUAAAAUGUACGCCACCAAAGUAAACUCUAAGCUCACUUUCUAAAUGCCUUGUGAGUGUAUCCUGCUACUCAGGAUAGCAAUUUAAAACACAAAGCCUCAGAAUCAGAACUAGAUAAUCCACAGCAAUCACUGAUUGAGAUCCAACCUUCAGAGCCUACCUACAUGGGUCUAUGUGCCUCCUAAUGGCUGCUUCUCUGCAUAAAUCUGGGAAGAACAGAAGAAUUGGAAUUUCAUUGUGAGACACAGGAGGCAAAAACCCUAUAAAAAGUUUCAUAACUAUACAUUGUGUAUAAAAUGCAGCUAUUCUUAUGCUUCAUCAUAAAAAUAAUAUAUGCAUGUAAAUUAAAAAUAAAUGAUGACAAGGAAAGAAAUAUUGGGAAAAUAUAAUUAAAAAAUACUGUAACAGCUGAAAGAUUAGUUGGCUAGAAAAAAAAGUGCAGCUACAGAAGACAGUUCUGAAAAUAAUGAAGCAACCGAGAACGAAGUUAAUGAGAUUGAGAAAAUGAAAGAAGAGAAUUUACAGUACCAUCACACACACACAAAAUCAAAAUAUAGGUUCCAAUCUGAUGUGUCCAUAUUAAACAGAAGUACAUCUAGUCCUGUUAAUUUCAUCAAAGCACUAAAUGAUUUGGUGUGUUCCACUCAUCUAGAAAACAGGUUGAGUUAUGGAGACUACCUUCUAGACAUAUCAGUAAUCCUCAAAGAUCAAGCUGUCUUUAUGCCUACUUGUGUUUCAGAAGCAACUUCUCAGCUACAAAUGAGACAAAGUAAAAAUAUAAGGAAAAAAGAAAAAAGAAAGUCCAUUUCUUUGUCACAUGUUUCUUUCCUAGUUAUGGGCUCUGAACCAAGACUGAGCAUUUUAUACAUCUUGAUGAUAGAUGUUGACUUUAUUUUUGUGCAUUUUUUCAAAAGCCUAAUGCUCUAUGUGUUGUGAAAUUCAGGUAGGCUGGUGGUCUUUUAAAUAAAUUUGAGAGGAGAAAAGCAACCAAACUGUGUGAUGAUUAUGUAAAAACAGAGUCCCCCUUAAUUUGUAUAAGGAAAUGCAAACCAAAGUUCCUAUAACUUCUCAUAUAACAUAACUAGAUGUUGAUAAAUUUUUCAGAGUGUUUUAAUAUAUCAUUUUGCAAGUAAUUUUUAUUCUAUUUCAUACAAUCUAUCACGAAUUCAUUUAUUUAACAAUAUUGACUGAACAUCUGUUGUUCCUAGUCACUGUUUUGGGCACAAGAAUACAUAGAAGAACAUGACAUAGACUCUGUACCCAGUAAUCUUGUACCUUCAGUUGAGAGAGGACCAUGCACAUGAUCACCAUGUAAUAUGAUAGAAGCAUCAGAGAUGUAUGCUUAAAGAAAGGGUAUGGACAUGGGAGCACCUGGGUGGUGGUGGGGGAGACUCUUGAACUGAGACUUGAAACCAAGGGGAAAAUUCCAGAGGAAGCCACUUGGAGGAGUAAAAAGUAAGAAUAGAGUAGAGGAAGCCACACCAUUAACGCCAUUGUUCCCAGGUUGCCACCUCUUUGGCUUGGCUCAGCAGGAAAGUCUGAAGAAAGGAGAAACAGUGGAAAAAGCUGAAGAUCUGAGCAUAGAUCAGAUCAUGAAAGACUGUGUAUCUGCUAAGGCACUUAGACUUUAUCUGGAAUGUGACGAAGCACCUUUAAACAAUGUAGAGAAUGAUGUGAUAGUAGUGGAACUUUAGAAACAAUUCUCUGACAAUAGCCAAACUGUGGAAGGAGCCUCGGUGUCCAUCGAAAGAUGAAUGGAUAAAGAAGAUGUGGUUUAUGUAUACAAUGGAAUAUUACUCAGCCAUUAGAAACGACAAAUACCCACCAU